rnacentral:rRNA from 1 species
AGUCGUUCUGCCCAUUGAAUUUAAAAGGCUGCGGUAUAUUAACUGUACAAAGGUAGCAAAAUAAAUAGUUUUUUAAUUGAAAACUUGAAUGAAAGAGUUGAUAAAAUAUAAAUUGUCUCAAAUAUUUAAUUUAAAUUAAAAGUUAAAAUGCUUUUAUAAAUUUAUUAGACGAUAAGACCCUAAGAAUUUUAUAAUUUAUUUAAUUUUAAAAAUUUAAUUAAAUUAAAUUAUUUUAUUGGGAGGAUAAUUAAAUAAACUUUAAUUUAAAAAAUAUUAAAUAGAUAAAUUUUAUGAUUAAUUUAUUGAUUAUAAGAAUAAAUUACCUUAGGGAUAACAGCGUAAUAAUUUUGGAGAGUUCAUAUUGAUAAAAUUGUUUGCGACCUCGAUGUUGAAUUAAAAUAAAAAUUAAAUGAAGAUAUUUAAAUUUUUAGUCUGUUCGACUAUUAAAAUUUUAC